GGCUGGCUCAGCUUUGGGAGUCCAUCGCAACCAAAGCACAGUUCCAAGGCUCCCCCAAAAUGAGAAAUUUUCGUGGAAAUGUCGGUCCGAUUCUUAACAGGUGCCCAUCAUAAGCAUUAAACGAGGCAAACUACAUCAUACUGCCAGCAGAUUCAGCGUCCAUCGCAUGCUCAAUGUCACAAUGAUCAGCACUCACAGUUGCUUCAGUUAUGCUAUAUGAUCCAUCAAGAUGAAGUCCACCUUCUUUACCAGUUGCUGCCCAGUACUUACAUGCAGCUUUAUCAGAUUACCUAUAGGGCUUAAUAUCAGAUAUUGACCCUGCCACAGCAAAACUUGCUAUCACAGUCACAGGCUCUUUGUUCUCGGCAUUUUGGGUUCUUAUUCAUUCUAAGGAUUGUCAUGUCUUGGUACCCCAAGCUCCUGGUGAAGCAAUUUCCUUAUGUUGUUGCUUAUGCACCUACAGAACCAUUUCUCAGCAUAACAAGGAAGGUGAUGCCUCCUCUUGCUGGAGUGGAUGUCACACCUGUUGUUUGGUUUGGACUGGUUAGUUUCUUGAGUGAAAUAUUUGUAGGACCUCAAAGGUUAUUAGUGCUUCUGUCUUGACAGGUCUAGCUUGUUGAUUUGUGUACAGUUCUAUUUUCUCAACAUUUCUUUUCCUCCUUGAUAACCAGUUGCCUAAUUGUGGUAUCACACGAACUGAUUAAUCAAACCUUUUAUCAUGCUGUUGCAUCAGAGAAAAGUCUGUUUUAAUUGAUCUCCAAUUGCUGAAUUCUAUGUCCCUGCAAGUGUUUACCAAAUGUUUGGAGAACAACAGAACACUUGGUAGUCAAGCAGGCUUUCUAAUCAAGAACUUGUAUGUAUCUGAUGCGGUAAUCCUGUGACUGAUUAACCAAACCUUUUAUCAUCCUGUUGCAUCAGAUAAAAGUCUGUUUUAAUUGAUCUCCAAUUGCUGAAUUCUAUGUCCCUGCAAGUGUUUACCAAAUGUUUGGAGAACAACAAAACACUUGGUAGUCAUGCAGGCUCUCUAAUCAAGAACUUGUAUGUAUCUGAUGCGGUAAUCCUGUGACUCAUGUACAGCUACAACUGACAUAAAUCUUCAGCACUUGUUGUGGAAGCUCCAUAAGAAUUUAGGAAAUUUUACUUGAAGUCAGCUCAGCUCAGUAGCAUGACUGUGUUCUUGAUGCUGGAGAUUAUUUGGGUUAAGCAGAUUGCUCAGGAAAAUAUAAAACUCCUUCAUUAGCAAGUACUUACUCUGUCACUCGCUUUCCAGAUCAUGAGGAUUCUAAACAGUUAAUUGCCCUUCAUUUGCCUGCCAUACAUUCCUCAUUAAUGUCAUUUUGGUGCUCUUGUUGCUACAAGAAAUACUCUGCUAGCCAUUGUGGCCAUGAAGAAAAGAAGAACCUUGAUGUACUUCCAAAGGAUUCAUUGUUACAAAACUCCAAUUAGCCUACAUGUUGAUAUAGAGAUUACAAGAUUAUUAUGGCCUCUUAACGUUUAUCCGAAAUUGCAUCAGUGAAGAAUUUUUUGUCUUCAUGGUUCAUAUUACCAUCCCAUCUGCCUUUUGAGUUUUGACAUCUAUGAUAUCUACAUUAUCUUCAAAGUAAAUGAUUGUAGUUGUUUUGCUUCUCUUUUCUUUUCAACCUAGCAAAACCUCAAAUUUGCAUUUCAAUUGGUUACCUAUUACAAUAAUGUGAUACUGAAUUAAGUAGAAUCUUCUUUUAAGCAGAGUGUUACACUGUAGGCUAUGAUUGUGGUUCAAAAUGCAGGUAAAUCCUGAGAAAGCAGAUAAUUUGAGAUACUUCAACCUCCAUGGCUCAUGAAUCAUAGUGCUUUGAACCAGAUCUGCUCUGUAGCAACCGUUGGAUUUAUCCACACCAGAAUGGUGCUAAGUUCUAGGCUUCUGCAGAUGCAUAUGGUUGCAUACAGAACUAUCUUGGACAGUAAUGUGGCCUUUAAACAUCAUUUAGGCUCUAAAAUUAGACUUCAGCCUCCAGUAGACGAUUUGUCCAUUACUGUAACACUUAAGUUUGUACUGACUGGAUAUUCUAGUAUCAAUAACUAAUUUAUGGAUAUUUUUAUUUAGGCAGUCACAUCUAUUUUCUUAUUCCCAGAAUUUAUAGUCAUCCAUGGCCAAAAAGUUGUCAGGUAAUAGCCAUAAUGGUAACCUAGUUGCAGUGUGCAGACAAAAGAUGGCUUUAGACAUCAGACAUCUUGAUGCUGUUUUUAGGUGAUUUAUUAUUUUAUCUUUGUAUCGGUUAGCAUUCUUCUUUUGGAGCUAAUAGGAAACUAUCAUGUUCAUGCUACCUACAAUCUUGAACAGACUAGUUAUUAGUAAUUUGGAUUUAAACAUAUCAGGUCACGCUGAUCGAAUCAGUUUGGUUUGAAAUGCUGGCCUGAUAGACCUGUACAGUCAGGUUCUAACAAUUGGUUUUUUGUUGCAGUCAAAGAAACUAGAUGAUGCUGAGGCCAUGGCAGCACAAGGUUUUGUGCCAAAUAUCAGAAAGAUCGGAUUUAUUUUCUGAUUAGAGAAUAAGCUUGUUGCUUGGUGGAUGCAACUACUUUCAAAUGCUGCUUCUUUUGGUGCAAACCAGUGGUCCCAUGGAAACAUACAUACUGUAUACCAAAUGACAUUUUUCUUUCUGCUGCAUCUGUUACCUCUUUGCUUCUUGGUCAUGUGAUACUGUCAAAAAUGUGCUGUCCUGAGAUGUUUGUAAUACUGAAUCAACUUUUGUUUCAGCAAAGAAUGUCUCCUGAUAAUGAUGUCUCAAGGAACCUGCACAUGCAUCUGAAAUUGAAACAAACUGUGACUGCAGUU